GCACUACUGACGAGUCCCACAAUGGGACGAAACAGCCUUUUAGUGC
rfam:Schistosoma curassoni strain Dakar, Senegal genome assembly, scaffold: SCTD_scaffold0005383